rnacentral:misc_RNA from 1 species
GCAAACUUGGUCAUUUAGAGGAAGUAAAAGUCGUAACAAGGUUUCCGUAGGUGAACCUGCGGAAGGAUCAUUACCGAACCGUCAACACGAGCUGUCGCUGGUCCUCGAAUGGGGGCAUGUGCACGCUCUGUUUGUACAUCCACUCACACCUGUGCACCCUCCAUAGUUCUGUGGUCUUGGGGGCUCAGUCCUCCCUGCUGUGGUCCUAUGUGUUUACACACACACACCGUAGUGAAGUAUCAUGGAAUAUAUGCCGCGUUUAACGCAAUACAAUACAACUUUCAGCAACGGAUCUCUUGGCUCUCGCAUCGAUGAAGAACGCAGC